ensembl:lncRNA
UUGAAGGGAAAAGCGUCACGAAUCCCCCGGGUGACACAGCAGUCGAUAGAAAUCUGGGAGACCACUUCAUGUAUAGUUUUUCCAGUCGUCUUAAUUUAAAAAGCAGCUUAAUGAACCAAACGCUGGGUUCCCUCCAGCUUUGAUGGAAUGAGGAUGAACACUCCUCGUUCCUUUGGACAUCCCAUUUGUGUGAUUGGAUGGUAACCUCAUGUGCUCCGGUCUCGAGUCCCAGCAGAAUUUGAGGCUGGUUUCUUCCAACCAGGGUGAUAAAGUUUUGAAAAAGCUCACUGUGUUUUUGAAACACCCUCAACUGUGUGUGCAGAUUUUUACCACCUGCUCACAUCUAGAUACCCGGUUACAAGUGGCCAAGUGGGAGCUGCACUCAGCCGCUGGGGAGGUCCAUGAGGAAAAGUUCUGGAAGCUGGAAGUCCAAGAGGUGUCAGUAGGGUUGGUACCUUCUCGAAGCUCUGAGGCAGAAGCCAUCCCAUGCCUCUCUUCGGUUUCCAGUGGUUGCCGGCCAUCCUUGGUGCUGCUUGCCUCCAACGUCACAUGCCACUCUACCUCUGUGUCUCCAUGUCUUCACACGGAAAAGCAACCACCAGACACACUGGCCAAGACGACAAGGCCUCUAGUGUACUUCUCCUCCUGCUGCCUCUUCCACGUACAGUCACAGAAUGAGUCUUGCAGCCUCAAAAGUCUCCGAAGUUAGUUGUAUGGAAUAACAUAA